GGUAGCCAUUUCCUCAUUGUGCUUUGUGGGAUCUUGUAUACAGAUCGUUGCCUGUGUGCACACCAGUUGCUUUACGUUUUGUUUGUUCUUGUGCUUUAUUGUUUUGUUUGGUGAGUUUCAAUUUAUUAAAAUAUGUGGAACUCUACGCACGCUGCGCCUUGGUCUACUUAUUAUGACGAGCGUGACAGGACUUUUGGUGUGGAUGAUGUUCAGGUUAGAUAUUCCUUUAAAUUAUUCCACUGCACCAUUUGAUUGUCAUUCCUUUAUUGAAAAUUGUACCUUGUUCACACCACAGAGCCUACCAAAGUAGGGUUUCUCAAACAACUGUGGGGUGUUUGUUUUGAUGGUAAGAUGCUGGCUGUUCAGUAUAUUAUAUUAGUCCUAUUUUCUGUUAUAACAUGUGAAAAGUUAUUAUUUCUGUGCUUGCAGCAUGCAAAACACACUAUUGUUAUUGCUCAUACUUUCUCAUUAUUUACUAUUAUCAUUAUUGUUAUCAUAACUAUCAAACCUACACUUUCUUAACUUACAGUGCGUUCUGUACAUUGCAAUGGAAGCACAGUGUGAUUUCACUGAGGUAUGUAUAAAUUCUCAUCACUAGUGGAUAUAAUGUUUUUUGGGAUCCCAAUCCGAUUGUGUGAUUUUCUUUUUCAAAGGAAAACAUGGAGCAAAUUAAGCGAUGGUGGUGCCUAGUUCUCCUGCAGUACUUUCCCAUGCCGAAGCAGAUGUUCUUCUAAUGGGCGCCCUAGAGGCAGCAAGGUGGCGUGAACUCCAAACAUUUAAAGGCACAGUUUCCCUCCCUAGUGUAAUUGGGAUGGACGGGGAAGACCGCAUUACAACCCUUAAAGAACUACGGUUGUAUGAUGGCCUGGAUGAAGAGGAAGAUAUUAUCCUCAAGGAACCAUUCAUGUUCCAGUUACAGAGAGAUUAUGAGAUGUUUUAUGUGGAGGCAGUUGACAACAAGAAAAUGAAUGUCUUUGCCUCUUCUGAGGAGCAGGAGUGAAGCCAUUUUUGAGGAGUGGUCAAACCUUGUUUUGUCUGCUUUGUUAAUUGUGGUAUGUUGUUUAGUAAAGAUGACGUAGAAGUCA